rnacentral:rRNA from 1 species
UACGUAGGGUGCAAGCGUUGCCCGGAAUUACUGGGCGUAAAGGGCGCGUAGGCGGUUUCUUAAGUCCCGUGUGAAAGCCCCCGGCUCAACUGGGGAAUUGCACGGGAAACUGCGAGGCUUGAGUUCGGGAGAGGGAAGCGGAAUUCCGGGUGUAGCGGUGAAAUGCGUAGAUAUCCGGAGGAACACCGGUGGCGAAGGCGGCUUCCUGGACCGACACUGACGCUGAGGCGCGAAAGCUAGGGGAGCAAACGGG